GGGGAGGUGGCUGAGUGGUCGAAAGCACCCGCCUGCUAAGCGGGUAGGGGGUGUGAAACUCCCUCGAGGGU
rnacentral:tRNA from 1 species